UUAUUAUUAUUUUCAGAUUAAAUCUAGGUGUAUAAAGUAGAACAAGAAAUUGUGUAGAGGAAUUUACAAAAUCCAAAUCUACAAUGUUCUGCCCCACCUCCUUAGAUCAAUAUUUCUCUGAACACUUCAAUGCUUUAGACUCAAAUCAUAACAAGAAACAGAAUUUUAAACAAAGAUUGAGUUUAGAAACAAGAAGAAGAGAAUCUGAAGAUACAACCGAAAGAUAUCCGAGCAAAGUACCAUUGAUUGUUGAACGAUUUCGCAGAGAAAAAUAUAUCGGGGAAAUAGAUAAGGUUAAGUGGUUGGUGCCUGUAGAGAUGACUACAUUGCAGUUGUCUGUAGUUCUAAAGCAAAGGUUAAACCUUCCCCCCGGCAGAGAGUUUUUUCUUCUUGUAAACGGAAGAACUGUUCCUAGUCUAACGUCACCAAUGGUCUCCUUGCAUCAGAAGUUUGCGGAUGAAGAUGGAUUUCUUUAUUUUACCUACUCAUCCCAGGAGUGUUUUGGUUAACAUUCAACCCUGGAGUAUCAUCCUUGGAAGGAGCUUAAAACAUGAAUGUGAUGAAUUGGAUAGAACAGUGUCUAAUGACCCAACUCGAUGGCAAGAUAUCAAGAUAACGCCUGUUUAUUGGUUAAAUUGGCGCUUUCAAAUUUGUCAAAGAUAAUGCUUUGAUUUUGACCUUAAAAAGCGCCAAAUUAGACAAUAAAAAUGACCCAACAUGGCGCUAAAUUAUAUUCAUAAUAAAUAUUAGCACUGAUAAUAAUUUUAAAUGGCGAUCAAAAUAUGACAAUUAAUUUUAGAUUGUUUUUAAAGUUUUUCAAUAAUUCUGUCCAUGGUUUGGAUGAUUUCCUCGGUCCCAGAUUCUAGGUUACGCCAAGCACCACUGAUGAUAAAAAUGUUCAAAUAAGCUCGAGUGUAUUAUAUAUAUAUUUGCAUAUGAAUAUGAAAAUUUUACUCAAUAUUUUUUUACGAAUUCAAAUUGUUUUUAUGAAAGGCCUCUGUAAAACUAUGACAAAACCCUGUACGUUUAUCACCGUUCUAGAUUAUACAAUGAAACUCUUUUCUGGGUCUCACUGUAGUGGAAUAACGUUGUGAUAUUUUUAUAUAUUUGUACAUAAACUUAUUUUUAUACAUAACAAUAUAUGUUAGAUAAUAGUCUGUAUCAUUUAAUAAAUGAAUUUAAAUUUUA
rnacentral:misc_RNA from 1 species